rnacentral:rRNA from 1 species
CAGCAGCCGCGGUAAAACGGAGGGUGCAAGCGUUACUCGGAAUCACUGGGCGUAAACCGUGCGCAGGCGGUUUUGUAAGACAGGCGUGAAAUCCCCGGGCUCAACCUGGGAAUGGCGCUUGUGACUGCAAAGCUAGAGUGCGGCAGAGGGGGAUGGAAUUCCGCGUGUAGCAGUGAAAUGCGUAGAUAUGCGGAGGAACACCGAUGGCGAAGGCAAUCCCCUGGGCCUGCACUGACGCUCAUGCACGAAAGCGUGGGGAGCAAACAGGAUUAGAUACCCCUGUAGUCCCUGUCUCUUAUAA